GAUGGUGAAGAGUGACGGAUGGUUAUUGUGGUUAAGGAGGGUGGUGUUGGUGGUGUAUCAUUUUCGAGCAUGCACAUCACAACAAUAAGAACAUCAGCCAAUUUAAGUUUUUUGGACUGAAAUGUUGUAAAUAUUUGUAACAUAAACCACAGACAAUUAAAACAAACCCACUCAACCGGAUUCAAAUGUUUAACAACACUAUAUAACCAAGUCCAAUUCAUUGAUACCGACAUAAUUCAUCGAGAAAGAUGAAAUUUUCACAAUAAGCAAACCCUAACACUGAACAUCGAUACAAACCCUAAACCCCCAAAUCUAAGAGCUGGUAAAUUUGGUUACAGCUUUCGUCCCCUCGGAAACGGCGUGCUUUGCCAACUCCCCGGGCAAAACCAAUCUCACCGCCGUCUGAAUUUCCCUGGAUGUGAUCGUCGGCUUCUUGUUGUACCUCGCAAGCUUCGAAGAUUCCUGAGCAAGCUUCUCGAAGAUGUCGUUGAUGAACGAGUUCAUGAUCCCCAUGGCCUUGCUUGAGAUACCGAUGUCAGGGUGAACCUGUUUCAGCACCUUGAAGAUGUAGAUCUUGUAUGUCUCCACACUCUUCUUGUUUCUCUUCUUCUUCUUGUCAACAGCACCGGCGCCGGCCUCCUUGGGGAGCUUCUUCCCGGCCUUUGGCUUCUUCUCAGCAGGGGCUUUCUCAGCUGGUUUCUUCUCCUCCACUGGCUUCUUCUCAGCCGGCUUCUUCUCUGCCUUUGGCGCCAUUGUAGGGAUUUUAGUUUGUAAAGAAAGAGUGAUGUUCUAAAAACAGAGAGAUGAUUGUUGUUCGUU
rnacentral:lncRNA from 1 species